rnacentral:rRNA from 1 species
UACGAAGGGUGCAAGCGUUAUUCGGAAUCAUUGGGCGUAAAGGGUGUGUAGGCGGCAACCUAAGUCAACUGUUAAAUACUCCGGCCUAACUGGAGAUCAGCGGUAGAUACUGGGUUGCUAGAGGAUGGAAGAGAGAAGUGGAAUUCUCGGAGUAGCGGUAAAAUGCGUGGAUCUCGAGAGGAACACCAAUGGCGAAGGCAGCUUCUUGGUCCAUUUCUGACGCUGAGACACGAAAGCGUGGGGAGCAAACAGG